AUUGAACGCUGGCGGCAGGCCUAACACAUGCAAGUCGAGCGAGCGGCGGACGGGUGAGUAAUGUCUGGGAAACUGCCUGAUGGAGGGGGAUAACUACUGGAAACGGUAGCUAAUACCGCAUACCAUCAGAUGUGCCCAGAUGGGAUUAGCUAGUAGGUGGGGUAACGGCUCACCUAGGCGACGAUCCCUAGCUGGUCUGAGAGGAUGACCAGCAAUAGUGGAACGGGGACACGGUGCAGACUCGUACGGGAGGCAGCAGUGGGGAAAAUUGCACAAUGUGCGCAAGCCGGAUGCAGCCAGGCCGGGUGGGUGAAGAAGGCCGUCGGGUUGUACAGAACUUUCAGCGUGACGGCGUUACCCACAGAAGAAGCACCGGCUAACUCCGUGACAGCAGCCGCGGUAAUUC
rnacentral:rRNA from 1 species